UGCGACUAAGCAGAAAAAUCUGUUUAAAAAUUCCCGUUGCUAGGGUAAACAAUCGGCGAAAUUGGCCCCAUUUGGUUGCCCUGUAAGAUUUCUAUGGUGAUGAAAUAACUCAUGUUUAUAUACGGACUCUGUAAAAAACUAAUUCAUAAGCAUUUCUGGCAUCAUAGCAACAAUCAGUCCUAAUCUUUUUGCUUUUCGAAACUUUUAUGAUCUUCGUUACCGUAACUAAAACAAAAAAUCUUAUUUCGGAAAAUACUAACUAAACCUUUGCUGAUCUUACAGCACUGUUACAUCAUAGUAGCCAUUAUGACAGAAGCCAUUAGUAGUGUUGUUGGAUUUUCAUUGGACGAUAUCGCCGAGAUCGAUCCGUUUAAAACGACCUAUCAUCUUGUGUUCUUCCUCAUACUUUGUACGUUCGUUGGAGUUAUUUUCUUCAUGAUUGGAGUUGCAUUCUUGUACUCGUUCUGUGAAUGUCUUUGCUGUGAUGGGGGGGAAGAAGUGGUGGUCCAACAGAAACAAACGAAGAAAAAUAAAGUCCAUGCUCAACAGCGACAAGUUGAAAUACCUAGCUGGUGAAAAGUGUGACAAACAUUGUGAAGGUUAUGUUGUACAAAACAAAUAUUUCAUAUAUAUAUAAUACACUGAUUUAAACAAGUAUUAUUUGAUCUAUGUUUAUGUUUUGGUUUUAUUCCUAAUAGGACGGUUAAUGCACAACUACCAUUAUUAGGUUAUUUUUGUUUUAGCAGCCUGUAUUAUGUAGAUAUUACCUAAAAAGUAUGAAGCCAAAUGUAUAUGAUGUAUGAACCAAUUUUUAAAUAUAAUGUUACUAUUAUACUGGAAAGUUGCAACUGUUUUAAACUUUUUAACUUCUAUAAAAUGUGUUUUAAUAUUGCAAAGUUUUUGAAGUAUUGUUUGUAACAUAUUUUACUUUGUGAAGCCAUAAUGUACCUACUGUGAUGUCAUAGUGAUUUAAAUAUUCAAACAUGCCUGAGUUCAUCUGUUCUGUAUAUUUGUUUGUUUAAUGAUUUGUAUUUAUUGUUGCCACCUUUAAUAAUAUGCCAAACUACUUUUUAAAAAAUUCCGUCAUUAUAUAUUUAAGUGUUAAUUAAUAUCAUUCCUGUUUUGCUAAGGUUUUUAAAGCUUACUGAUACAUAAGUACGUUUGCAUGUUCAUAUUGUUUAUAUAAGUUUGCACUAGAUUUUAAAACAUUUUAGCUUUUUCAUAUGAAGCCAUUUAUUUCAUUUUAAUGCUUGCCUAGGCCCACCUAUAUGUUACAAACUUAUUUAAACUUUAGCUUUCCAUGCCUUCUAUACAACAUACAAGCAUGUCUUGCCACUGUGGAACUUUGGUGCUAAGUGUUAAACACAACCAUAAUGCAUACAGAUAGUUAAUAUAAUAUUUAAACCGGUAUAGUCAAUCUAAUAUUUAAAUUUAAACCAGUGUAGUCAAACCAUUGUGUUAUUUUUAUCACUAAGUGUUGUUCUUGUCAAGGUUUUCAGUUAAUACCAAUAUAGUGGAACUAUGGUGUUGUUGUUUUUCUUGUAUAUAUAGUUUAUCUUUACACAAAGUUUUCAUACACAAAGUUUUUCCUGUUUUACAGAUUUUAUAUAUACCCUGUACCUUGAAACAUAGAGAUGUCAAACUUAAACACAGACAUCAUAAACAACGCUCUUACGAAUGUGGUCGGUUUCACACUUGAUGACAUCGCUAAGAUUGAACCGUUUAAGGAUACUUACAGCACUGUAUGGUUCGGUAUCUUUAUUGCUUUCAUUGGAAUGUUUGGCGUGUUGUUCGCGAUUGCUUUCCUUUAUUCGUUCUGCGACUGUGUGUGUUCAUGCUGCAGGAGGUCGGAACCCAAACCUCAUAAACGAAGAAACAAUAAAGUCAAGAACGGGUCAGAUAACAUUGGGAUGGGAGAAAUACAUUAGGACAACCUAAGGAUCAAAUCUAAAGUUUUAACAAAUUAUUAGGAUAACAAAGUUUUUUAUUGACGUUUUUUUUUGAAUUAAUGUUUUUAUACCCAAAGAGCUAAAAAGACUGUUAUACAUUAUGCCUGGUAGCGGAAACCACACAAUAUAAGAAAAAUCAUUUACUUGAGUUGUGAACAAUUUAUAUUAAUUAGUGCAUUAAACAUAACCGCUGUAAUGUUUCAUAUAUCUACACAUUCCAAUCUAUGUAUAUUGCUUUGCUUUUAGAUGUCUUCAUUUUAACUUUUAUCAUUGCAAUCUUAUUGUUUUAGAAUCACAAGUUUCUUUGUUUAAAACAAUUGCACUGUUUGUUCCAUUAUUACAAUGUAUAUUUGUAUUAUGACAUCACACUGCUCUCACAUACAUCACAGAAUAUGUAAUUAACAUAUUAUGACGUGAUAAAAAAAUUUCUUUCUUCACUGCAGAAAAAUUAAACUUAAUUUUUAGAAAUAAAAAGCAUUUUUAGAAAUAAGAAGAAUAUUGUUAACAAGUAUUGACAAAAACAGUUAGUCUACAUUGCAGACUACGUAAACAGUGCAAUUUUUUAAAUCUCUAAUUACAUUUUAAAAUUGUAUCUUCACAUACUGCCGGAAAAUAUAACUGCAAUGUUAGAUUAAGAAUCAAACAUUAAAACUGAAAUCGACGCCAAGUAGAAACAACUAGUCUAAAGUAAAAACACAGCAUCACCAUAAAGACUAUAAAGACAUCUUGAAA